UGUGUGACCACUCACCAGAUGCUCUGGACAGUGGAGACAUUGCUGAGAGUGGAGAGGGCUGCGGGCGCAUCCUGUGCUAGAUGCAGGGAGGAAACUCAGGAGGGUGGGCAAAGGCUGCUGCACUGGACAGUGCUUGUGUGUGUAUGGCCAAAUGGACCACGUGCAGCUUGUUCAAAGGUUAGAAAAUAAGCUUUCCAAUAGGGAGCUGGGGUGGCUGCUGCAUCAUUGGCCUGGUGGACCACCUUGGUGGUGUUUAUGAAGUGAGCAUCGAGUGAAGGCAGAACUGUUUUGCUGUAGGAUAUUUGUUCAGCAUCUCUGAGCCACUGGACUCCUAGAGGGUGUGAUGAGAAAGCAGAGGCAGAGCCCACAGUGCCCUGACCAAGGUUGCAAUGCUGAGCCACCCUCUUCCUGGUGACUUCAAGGAGAACAACAAGGGUGCCUACAGGGUCAGAAGAGAGCAUCAGUCUCUUGGAGCUGGACCUGCAGGUGACGGAGCGCUGACUAACAUGGGUGCUGUGAUUAGAAAUCCAUUCUUCUGCCAGAACAGUGCAGUCAGCAGCCUGAGGAAUGAGGCUGAGGAGGUAGAUAGGAGUCUCCAUCUUCCUGGUCUUUCACCUUUCUGAGUUGUCCAGUGUGAGCCAAGACCUGCAGGGCUGUGAAGCUUCUUGGGGCUGUAACACUUGAAAAAUCUCUUGGCUAGCAUCUUACAACCAGAGCUCAAAAAAUUCUGUUUCAUUUAAGCUAUCACUUCCCUAUUAUGACUUAUUUUUCCCUUUUAAAGUUGAAUUAAUAAAUUUCUCUGGGUUGAACAUUCUUCACUCUCUACCCAUUUCAUUCUUGGAGAACAGUGGGAGACAGGAGGAUUGACAGUCUCACCCAACU